rnacentral:lncRNA from 1 species
CCUGAAUGUCACACGACCUAGAUGAAAUUAUUCUAGGCACAUGACCAGCAGCCCUGGAACACAAGGGACACGCACAUGCUCCCACACCCACACACACAUGCACCCUCACACACGCAUAUACCCUCAUAUAUGCUUGCACACCCUCACACAUGCAUACACCCUCACACACAUGCACCCACACAUGCACCCUCACACACGCAUAUACACUCAGACAUGCUCGCACACCCUCACACAUGCUCGCACACCCUCACACAUGCAUGCACCCUCACACACGCAUAUGCCCUCACAUAUGCUUGCACACCCACACACGCAUACACCCUCAAGGCUCGCACACCCUCACAUGCACCCUCACACAUGCUCGCACACCCUCACACAUGCAUGCAUCCUCACACACGCGCACACCCUCACACACAUGCACACACAGCCCUUGCACACCCCCCCAAAGGAUGCACACACACAUCCCUGUGCACACGUGCACUCAUAGCUGCUGCUCUCGAUGGGAUAACUGAGGGCUACAUAUAAUCACA